rnacentral:misc_RNA from 1 species
GAGAACACGUCUUGGGACGAGGCUGUCGCUGGCCCCACCGGGGUAUGUGCACGCCUUGUCACUUGCGUCCCUUCACUAAACCCACACACCACAUUGUGAACCCUUGGGAGCCGUCGGUCGAAAGGCCGGCUGGCCCGUCAUAUAUAUACCCCUUUAUUUAUAACCUUAGAAUGUCACUGUUUGUCCCUUAACCGGGUAAAAACAAAAAAUUA